rnacentral:sRNA from 1 species
GGUACUAGCAGCGAUGCGAGCGCGGGC